rnacentral:rRNA from 1 species
UACGUAGGGCGCAAGCGUUGUCCGGAAUUAUUGGGCGUAAAGAGCUCGUAGGCGGCUUGUCACGUCUGCUGUGAAAUCCCGGGGCUCAACCCCGGGCGUGCAGUGGAUACGGGCUGGCUAGAGGCAGGCAGGGGAGAACGGAAUUCCCGGUGUAGCGGUGAAAUGCGCAGAUAUCUGGAGGAACACCGGUGGCGAAGGCGGCAUCCUGGACCGACACUGACGCUGAGGAGCGAAAGCCAGGGGAGCAAACGGG